rnacentral:rRNA from 1 species
AACGAACGCUGGCGGCGUGCCUAACACAUGCAAGUCGAGCGAGAAAGCCCGCAAGGGUGAGUAAAGCGGCGCACGGGUGCGUAACACGUGGGUAAUCUGCCCUAGAGUCCGGAAUAACUCGCCGAAAGGCGUGCUAAUGCCGGAUGAGACCACGGGAGCCUCGGCUCCUGCGGGAAAAGGUGGCCUCUGUAUACAAGCUAUCGCUCUAGGAUGAGCCCGCGGCCCAUCAGCUAGUUGGCGGGGUAAUGGCCCACCAAGGCUACGACGGGUAGCGGGUCUGAGAGGACGAUCAGCCACACUGGAACUGAGACACGGUCCAGACUCCUACGGGAGGCAGCAGUGGGGAAUCUUGCGCAAUGGGCGAAAGCCUGACGCAGCAACGCCGCGUGUGUGAUGAAGGUCUUCGGAUCGUAAAGCACUGUCGCGAGGGACGAAUAAGGGGCGGGCUAACACUCCGUUCCGACGACGGUACCUCGAGAGGAAGCACCGGCUAACUCUGUGCCAGCCGCCGCCGUAAGAC